rnacentral:rRNA from 1 species
UACGAAGGGGGCUAGCGUUGCUCGGAAUCACUGGGCGUAAAGGGUGCGUAGGCGGGUCUUUAAGUCAGGGGUGAAAUCCUGGAGCUCAACUCCAGAACUGCCUUUGAUACUGAGGAUCUUGAGUUCGGGAGAGGUGAGUGGAACUGCGAGUGUAGAGGUGAAAUUCGUAGAUAUUGGGAAGAACACCAGUGGCGAAGGCGGCUCACUGGCCCGGUACUGACGCUGAGGUGCGAAAGCGUGGGGAGCAAACAGG